CCCUUAGAUGUCCUGGGCCGCACGCGCGUUACACUGAUGCAUUCAACGAGCUUAUAACCUUGGCCGAGAGGCCUGGGCAAUCUUGUUAACGUGCAUCGUGAUAGGGAUAGAUUAUUGAAAUUAUUAAUCUUGAACGAGGAAUUCCUAGUAAACGCAGAUCAUCAAUCUGCAUUGAUUACGUCCCUGCCCUUUGUACACACCGCCCGUCGCACCUACCGAUUGAAUGGUCCGGUGAAAUCUUCGGAUCUGAGAGAUGUCUGAUUAAUUUCGGACGCCUUUUGGAAAAGUUGUUUAAACCUUACCAUUUAGAGGAAGGUGAAGUCGUAACA
rnacentral:rRNA from 1 species